UACGUAGGGUGCAAGCGUUGUCCGGAAUUAUUGGGCGUAAAGAGCUCGUAGGCGGUUCGUCGCGUCGGCUGUGAAAACCCGGAGCUCAACUCCGGGCCUGCAGUCGAUACGGGCGGACUUGAGUGUUGCAGGGGAGACUGGAAUUCUCGGUGUAGCGGUGAAAUGCGUAGAUAUCGAGAGGAACACCUGCGGCGAAGGCGGGUUGCUGGGCUGAUACUGACGCUGAGGCGCGAAAGCUAGGGGAGCGAACGGG
rnacentral:rRNA from 1 species